rnacentral:rRNA from 1 species
UACAGAGGGGGCAAGCGUUGUUCGGAAUUACUGGGCGUAAAGGGCGCGUAGGCGGCCGCCUAAGUCAGACGUGAAAUCCCUCGGCUCAACCGGGGAACUGCGUCUGAUACUGAUUGGCUUGAGUUCGGGAGAGGGAUGCGGAAUUCCAGGUGUAGCGGUGAAAUGCGUAGAUAUCUGGAGGAACACCGGUGGCGAAGGCGGCAUCCUGGACCGACACUGACGCUGAGGAGCGAAAGCCAGGGGAGCAAACGGG